AAAAAGCCCAGGCACCAGCACCAACAACUCCCGUUUCAACUCCUUGGAAACGACGACAAGGCAAGAGGUGUGCUGGAGUCAGAGCAGCUGCAACCUGUUCCAUAAUCAAGAUGUCUACAAAUACUCAGCCCUGCCACUUCCAGAUGUUCCGCCGCUCUGACUCUGGUCCCUGUCUCCAGUUCCACGUCUCAUCCUGCUACUCUGUCCUGGAUUCCCCACUCUACUACUCCCUUGGAUUCCUCUGAACCUGCUUACCCUGUCCCAACCCCUCUCGCCUCAGCCACCACACCUGGUUCCCUGCAACCCACCCGUGCUUCCCCUGUCCUGCACUCCAUCUUCCCCAUGUGUUUCAAUAAAUACCUUGGUUACUUCAUCCCAGUUUCCUCGUCUGAGUCUGCUCUUGGGUUUCCCUGUUCCACUCCGCGUAACCAGUAACUGCCGGAACCAUGGCUUAUGAUAAUAUAGACAAUGCCAUAGAUAACGUUUGUGAAUUUGUAUGGUAAUAUUCAUAUGAGAUCUAUUUCCUUUGUGAAAACGGGUGAUAUUUUUGAAUGUAUCGUUAUCAGACAGUCCCCUCUGUACUGUAGCUUUACCUCUUUUUUCAGCAUUAUUGUGAAGUAGUUCAAUGCUGAACUUCUAGAAAAUGUUCUGACUGUAUAUUUUCCGUCUGGGUCGGACAAAGCUUUCUCAGAUGGCGUUGUUGGCUCUUUCAUAGCCUGUGACCUCAACUUUGGUUGCAUCAUGGGAACAAGGGAACAUGGGAACUACCCUUGUAUACUGAGACCCAUGGUGCCUCCAUAAGAUCCAGAUUGGAAGUAAUUGUAAGCAAAGACAGCUUUUCUGCCUCCAGGCAGUGUCAGAGAAAAGGCGUAAAUUGUCCAAGACUCCAGCCACCCAGGUCAUAGACUUCUCUCUCUGCUACCUCACUGCAAGCCGUACCAAUGCAGCAGGUCUAUAACCAAGAGGACCCUGAACAGCUUCUACCCCCAAGCCAUAAGACUGCUAAAUAGCUAGCCAUCGGACUAACUGUAUUGACCCCAUUUUGUACCAUUUUGUAACGUCGAAUUCUAUGGCAACAGCUCUGGUGGACAUUCCUGCAGUCAGCAUGCCAAUUGAUGUCUCAAAACUUGAGACAUCUGUAGCAUUAUGUUUGACUGUCACGCCCUGGUCGUAUUAUAUUGUGUUUGACUUCAUUUAUUUGGUCAGGACAGGGUGUGACAUGGUUUUUUUGUGGUGUGUUUUGUCUUGGGGGUGUAUAGCAUAGUCUAUGGCUGCCUGAGGCGGUUCUCAAUCAGAGUCAGGUGAUUAUCGUUGUCUCUGAUUGGGAACCAUAUUUAGGCAGCCAUAUUCUUUGAGUAUUUUGUGGGUGAUUGUUCCUGUCUCUGUGUUUGUUGUCACCAGAUAGGCUGUAUAGGUUUUCACAGUGCGUUUGUUGUUUUGUAUUUUCAAGUUAUUUCAUGUCGAGUCUUUUUUCAUUAAAGAACAUGAGUAACCACCACGCUG